GUGGGGAAUCUUGCGCAAUGGGCGAAAGCCUGACGCAGCCAUGCCGCGUGAAUGAUGAAGGUCUUAGGAUUGUAAAAUUCUUUCACCGGGGACGAUAAUGACGGUACCCGGAGAAGAAGCCCCGGCUAACUUCGUGCCAGCAGCCGCGGUAAUACGAAGGGGGCUAGCGUUGCUCGGAAUUACUGGGCGUAAAGGGCGCGUAGGCGGACAGUUUAGUCAGAGGUGAAAGCCCAGGGCUCAACCUUGGAAUUGCCUUUGAUACUGGCUGUCUUGAGUACGGGAGAGGUGAGUGGAACUCCGAGUGUAGAGGUGAAAUUCGUAGAUAUUCGGAAGAACACCAGUGGCGAAGGCGACUCACUGGCCCGUUACUGACGCUGAGGUGCGAAAGCGUGGGGAGCAAACAGGAUUAGAAACCCGAGUAGUCC
rnacentral:rRNA from 1 species